CCCUUAGAUGUUCUGGGCUGCACGCGCGCUACACUGAUGCGUUCAACGAGUUUAUGACCUUGCCCGAUAGGGUUGGGUAAUCUUUUUAAAUCGCAUCGUGAUGGGGAUAGAUUAUUGCAAUUAUUAAUCUUCAACGAGGAAUUCCUAGUAAGCGCGAGUCAUCAGCUCGUGCUGAUUACGUCCCUGCCCUUUGUACACACCGCCCGUCGCUCCUACCGAUUGGGUGCUCCGGUGAAUUGUUUGGACUGCUGUCAGUCUUUUAGGCUGUUGGCGAGAAGCUCUGUGAACCUUAGCACCUAGAGGAAGGAGAANUCGUAACA
rnacentral:rRNA from 1 species